GGGCACGUGGUGGAAUUGGCAGACACGCGGGACUUAGGAUCCCGUGGAGAAAUCCGUGCAGGUUCAAAUCCUGUCGUGCCCACCA
rnacentral:tRNA from 3 species